AUAAAGGCUGUGAAGGUGUAUAGUAGAGAAUUAUUUUCUAUCAGAGAGAGGAGGCAGAUGGCUGAAAGCUUCCUUUAGUUCAAAUAAUUUUGCGAAUUUCCCACCGGAGCUUUCGGGCCGAACAGAAUGCAUGAUUUAUUUAGGGUGCACUAUCGGGUAAGCUUGAACGUGACACGCGUUAAGUGAAUGGAGAGUCUGUCUUUGACAGGAACUUGGGUGGUACCGCGGAUUAAUUUCGUCCCUUGU
rnacentral:ncRNA from 1 species